GGCGGCGUGCCUAACACAUGCAAGUCGAACGGAGAUACGAUUUCGGUUGUAUCUUAGUGGCGAACGGGUGAGUAACGCGUGAGCAACCUGACCUUUAGAGGGGGAUAACACUUGGAAACAGGUGCUAAUACCGCAUAAGACCACGACCCGACAUCGGGAUGAGGUCAAAGGAGUAAUCCGCUAGAGGAGAGGCUCGCGUCCCAUUAGAUAGAUGCGGGUAACGGCCCACCAUGUCGACGAUGGGUAGCCGAGCUGAGAGGCUGAUCGGCCACACUGGAACUGAGACACGGUCCAGACUCCUACGGGAGGCAGCAGUGGGGAAUAUUGGGCAAUGGGCGCAAGCCUGACCCAGCAACGCCGCGUGAGGGAAGAAGGCCUUCGGGUUGUAAACCUCUGUCCUUGGUGACGAAAAAAAUGACGGUAGCCAAGGAGGAAGCCCCGGCUAACUACGUG
rnacentral:rRNA from 1 species